GAUGAACGCUCGCUACAGGCUUAACACAUGCAAGUCGAGGGGAAACGCCAUCGAAAGCUUGCUUUUGAUGGGCGUCGACCGGCGCACGGGUGAGUAACGCGUAUCCAACCUGCCCACCACUUGGGGAUAACCUUGCGAAAGUAAGACUAAUACCCAAUGACGUCUCUAGAAGACAUCUGAAAGAGAUUAAAGAUUUAUCGGUGAUGGAUGGGGAUGCGUCUGAUUAGCUUGUUGGCGGGGUAACGGCCCACCAAGGCGACGAUCAGUAGGGGUUCUGAGAGGAAGGUCCCCCACAUUGGAACUGAGACACGGUCCAAACUCCUACGGGAGGCAGCAGUGAGGAAUAUUGGUCAAUGGACGAGAGUCUGAACCAGCCAAGUAGCGUGCAGGAUGACGGCCCUAUGGGUUGUAAACUGCUUUUAUAAGGGAAUAAAGUGAGUCUCGGGAGACUUUUUGCAUGUACCUUAUGAAUAAGGACCGGCUAAUUCCGUG
rnacentral:rRNA from 1 species